rnacentral:rRNA from 1 species
AGUAAAAGUCGUAACAAGGUUUCCGUAGGUGAACCUGCGGAAGGAUCAUUAACGAGUUUUUGAAACGGGUUGUAGCUGGCUUUUUAAAUAAGGCAUGUGCACGUAUUUCUUGAAUCCAUUCAUCCACCUGUGCAUCUUUUGUAGAAUGUCUCUUUUUCAGAUCGGAGUUCUUUUUCUUGCAGGUAUCUUCAGGGACUCUGUGAGGGGGAAUAAUGAUUUUGGAUAGAGCUUCUAUGUUUUAUAAACAAGUUAAGCAUGUUUAGAAUGUCGUUUUAUUGGGACUUGAUUGACCCUUUAAACUUUGUACAACUUUCAGCAACGGAUCUCUUGGCUCUCCCAUCGAUGAAGAACGCAGCGAAAUGCGAUAAGUAAUGUGAAUUGCAGAAUUCAGUGAAUCAUCGAAUCUUUGAACGCACCUUGCGCCCUCUGGUAUUCCGGAGGGCAUGCCUGUUUGAGUGUCAUUAAAUUCUCAACUUCAUUGGUUUUUAUAACUGAUUGAAGCUUGGAUGUGGGGGUUUGCUGGUGUCAUUAAGAUGUUUUCGGCUCCCCUUAAAUGCAUUAGUAGGAACCCGUUUUGUUGGCGUCCUUGGUGUGAUAAUUAUCUACGCUUUGGUUAGUCUGACAGGCUCUAAUGAAGCUUAUACUGUGAGGUUUUGCACAUUGGGUGCUUUUCCUGAGUAUGGGGUUUUGUAUUCUUAUGAAUGCUUUACCUGAUCUUUUUUCAUUAGAGUAGGAACUCUGCUCUCGAACUGUCUGCGUAUUGUAGACAACUUUUGACAACUUGACCUCAAAUC